rnacentral:rRNA from 1 species
AGGGGGUUUGAAUCAUGGCUCAGGAUGAACGCUAGCGGCAGGCCUAAUACAUGCAAGUCGAACGAUACCAGGGAGCUUGCUCUCUGGGAAAGUGGCGCACGGGUGCGUAACGCGUAUGCAACCUACCUUUAUCUGGGGGAUAGCCUCUCGAAAGAGAGAUUAACACCGCAUAACAUCAACGAAUGGCAUCAUUCAAUGAUCAAAUAUUUAUAGGAUAAAGAUGGGCAUGCGUGUCAUUAGCUAGUUGGUGAGGUAACGGCUCACCAAGGCGACGAUGACUAGGGGAUCUGAGAGGAUGACCCCCCACACUGGUACUGAGACACGGACCAGACUCCUACGGGAGGCAGCAGUAAGGAAUAUUGGUCAAUGGAGGCAACUCUGAACCAGCCAUGCCGCGUGCAGGAAGACGGCCCUAUGGGUUGUAAACUGCUUUUAUACGGGAAUAAACCUCUCUUCGUGAAGAGAGCUGAAUGUACUGUAAGAAAUAAGGAUCGGCUAACUCCGUGCCAGCAGCCGCGGNUAAUACGGNAGGAUCCAAGCGUUAUCGGAUUUAUUGGGUUUAAAGGGUGCGUAGGCGGCU